GAAAGGAAUUAGUGGUUUCCUAUUGACCAAGUCAUAUUUAUACGGAUGAUAAAGACGUUGGAGUACACCAUAUUAUAGCUAUAACAAGAGGAUUUAAAGGAAGAGGAUCGAAAAUGCAAUUGUUUGGAACGAUUCGACAAAGAAAAAUCUUGGCCUAACUCAAUUUUAAAAGUUAGCUAUAAGAAAAGUUUGUUCAAAAUCAUCUAAAAAGACCAAUAUCUAAUCCACUAUCGAUAUAAGACUUCUUAACCAUUUCAAUGUUAUCAUUGUCUCGAUCAGAAGUUAUAUGUCAUACCAUGGUGCAUUGUAUAUCAGAUCCAUCAACUGAAUAAUCCUCAAGGGGAGAAUGGGAGCACCAUCAUCAUCACCUGAACAUGGGCACAAAGACGAAGGGACGGACCCACACUAUAUGGAUAGAGCGGAGAUGCACUCGUUAAUUUUUGAAAAAAUCAUAUGUAUAUAUGUGUAUCUAUUUU